rnacentral:rRNA from 1 species
GAACGCUGGCGGCGUGCCUAAUACAUGCAAGUCGAGCGAGGAACUUCGGUUCCUAGCGGCGAACGGGUGAGUAACACGUGGGCAACCUGCCCUCAAGCCUGGGAUAACUCCGGGAAACCGGGGCUAACACCAGAUAAUCUUUUUCUUUCGCAUGAAGAGAGAAGUAAAAGUUUACACUUGAGGAUGGGCCCGCGCUGCAUUAGCUAGUUGGUAAGGUAACGGCCUACCAAGGCAACGAUGCAUAGCCGACCUGAGAGGGUGACCGGCCACACUGGGACUGAGACACGGCCCAGACUCCUACGGGAGGCAGCAGUAGGGAAUUUUCCGCAAUGGGCGCAAGCCUGACGGAGCAACGCCGCGUGAGUGAAGACGGCCUUCGGGUUGUAAAGCUCUGUUCUUAGGGAAGAAACAAACGACGGUACCCAAGCAGAAAGCCCCGGCUAACUACGUGCCAGCAGCCGCGGUAAUACGUAGGGGGCAAGCGUUGUCCGGAUUUAUUGGGCGUAAAGCGCGCGCAGGUGGUGGAUUAA